AUUGAACGCUGGCGGCAUGCCUUACACAUGCAAGUCGAACGGUAACAGGUCUUCGGAUGCUGACGAGUGGCGAACGGGUGAGUAAUGCAUCGGAACGUGCCCAGUAGUGGGGGAUAGCCCGGCGAAAGCCGGAUUAAUACCGCAUACGACCUGAGGGUGAAAGGGGGGGAUCGCAAGACCUCUCGCGAUUGGAGGGGCCGAUGUCAGAUUAGCUAGUUGGUGGGGGAAAGGCCUACCAAGGCAACGAUCUGUAGUUGGUCUGAGAGGACGACCAGCCACACUGGGACUGAGACACGGCCCAGACUCCUACGGGAGGCAGCAGUGGGGAAUUUUGGACAAUGGGCGCAAGCCUGAUCCAGCAAUGCCGCGUGCAGGAAGAAGGCCUUCGGGUUGUAAACUGCUUUUGUCAGGGAAGAAAUCUUCUGGGUUAAUACCUCGGGAGGAUGACGGUACCUGAAGAAUAAGCACCGGCUAACUACGUGCCAGCAGCCGCGGUAACAC
rnacentral:rRNA from 1 species